rnacentral:misc_RNA from 1 species
GCUGAACCGUGGCAUGGUCGUUGCAGUUGGUGUGAUCGCACAUUGACCAAUCGGCUGGCUCAAGCUCCCAAAGCCAUCGAGCAAGAGAGUAAGGAUCGCGAUGAGUAAAGAAACGAGAAAUCAACAGUCUGGUUUCACAAUGCUGGAAGCGGCGUUAGUUGUUUUGGUUAUCGGCGCCGUUAUGGCGUUCGCCACGCCAAAGUUUGUUAACGCGAUGCGCGAGUA